rnacentral:rRNA from 1 species
AGUGAAUAGAUACCCUGGUAGUCCACGCUGUAAACGUUGUAUACUAGGUGUUAGCGGGUUACCGCUAGUGCCGCAGCAAAAACGCAUUAAGUAUACCGCCUGGGGAGUACGCUCGCAAGGGUGAAACUCAAAGAAAUUGACGGGGGCCCGCACAAGCGGUGGAGCAUGUGGUUUAAAUUCGAUGAUACGCGAAAAACCUUAACCUGGGCUUGAACUGUGCUUGACAGGUGUAGAGAUACACUCUUCUUCGGACAGGUACAGAGGUGCUGCAUGGUUGUCGUCAGCUCGUGUCGUGAGAUGUUGGGUUAAGUCCCGCAACGAGCGCAACCCUUGCCCCUUGUUGCUACCAGGUAAUGCUGGGCACUCUAGGGGAACUGCCGGUGACAAACCGGAGGAAGGCGAGGAUGACGUCAAAUCAUCACGGCCCUUACGGUCCAGGGCUACACACGUGCUACAAUGGCCGGUACAAUACGCUGCUAACCCGCGAGGGGUAGCUAAUCGGCAAAAACCGGUCUCAGUUCGGAUUGUAGUCUGCAACUCGACU